GACGAACGCUGGCGGCGUGCUUAACACAUGCAAGUCGAACGGAAAGGCCCCUUUGGGUGUACUCGAGUGGCGAACGGGUGAGUAACACGUGAGUAACCUGCCCUUGACUCCGGGAUAACUUUAGGAAACUGGGGCUAAUACCGGAUAGGAAUCCUUGCUGCAUGGUGGGGGUUGGAAAGCUUCGGCGGUUUUGGAUGGACUCGCGGCUUAUCAGCUUGUUGGUGGGGUAGUGGCUUACCAAGGCUUUGACGGGUAGCCGGCCUGGGAGGGCGACCGGCCACAUUGGGACUGAGAUACGGCCCAGACUCCUACGGGAGGCAGCAGUGGGGAAUAUUGCACAAUGGGCGGAAGCCUGAUGCAGCAACGCCGCGUGCGGGAUGACGGCCUUCGGGUUGUAAACCGCUUUCAGCAGGGGCGAAGCUUGUGGUGAAGGUGCCUGCAGGAGAAGCACCGGCUAACUACGUG
rnacentral:rRNA from 1 species